CCUACGGGAGGCAGCAGUGAGGAAUAUUGGUCAAUGGCCGGAAGGCUGAACCAGCCAAGCCGCGUGAAGGACGAAGGUGCCAAGCAUUGUAAACUUCUUUUGUCAAGGGACAAAAUCAGGCUCGAGAGCCUGACCGAAAGUACUGUACGAAAAAGCAUCGGCUAACUCCGUGCCAGCAGCCGCGGUAAUACGGAGGAUGCGAGCGUUAUCCGGAUUUAUUGGGUUUAAAGGGUGCGUAGGCGGACGGUUAAGUCAGCGGUAAAAGCCCGGGGCUCAACCCCGGCGAGCCGUUGAGACUGGCUGUCUUGAGAUGUUGAGAGGUAGGCGGAAUGCGAGGUGUAGCGGUGAAAUGCUUAGAUAUCGGGCAGAACUCCGAUUGCGAAGGCAGCAUACCGGCGGCGAUCUGACGCUGAGGCACGAAAGCGUGGGUAUCGAACAGGAUUAGAUACCCGAGUAGUC
rnacentral:rRNA from 1 species